rnacentral:rRNA from 1 species
AUUGAACGCUGGCGGCAUGCCUUACACAUGCAAGUCAAACGGCAGCGCGGACUUCGGUCUGGCGGCGAGUGGCGAACGGGUGAGUAAAGUAUCGGAACGUACCUUUCAGUGGGGGAUAACGUAGCGAAAGUUACGCUAAUACCGCAUAUUCUGGGCCCAGGAAAGCAGGGGAUCGCAAGACCUUGCGCUGAUAGAGCGGCCGAUAUCAGAUUAGCUAGUUGGUGGGGUAAAGGCCUACCAAGGCGACGAUCUGUAGCGGGUCUGAGAGGAUGAUCCGCCACACUGGAACUGAGACACGGUCCAGACUCCUACGGGAGGCAGCAGUGGGGAAUUUUGGACAAUGGGGGCAACCCUGAUCCAGCCAUGCCGCGUGAGUGAAGAAGGCCUUCGGGUUGUAAAGCUCUUUCGGCCGGGAAGAAAUCGCACGGGUUAAUACCCUGUGCGGAUGACGGUACCGGCAUAAGAAGCACCGGCUAACUACGUGCCAGCCGCCGCCGUAAUAC